AGUAGAGCAAUAGGGAUUACCUCAGUAACGGCGAGUGAAGCGGUAAAAGCUCAAAUUUGAAAUCUGGCUCUUUUAGAGUCCGAAUUGUAAUUUGUAGAAGAUGCUUCGGGUGUGGUUCCGGUCUAAGUUCCUUGGAACAGGACGUCAUAGAGGGUGAGAAUCCCGUAUGUGACUGGAUACCUAUGCUCAUGUGAAGCUCUUUCGACGAGUCGAGUUGUUUGGGAAUGCAGCUCAAAAUGGGAGGUAUAUUUCUUCUAAAGCUAAAUAUUGGCCAGAGACCGAUAGCGCACAAGUAGAGUGAUCGAAAGAUGAAAAGCACUUUGGAAAGAGAGUUAAACAGUACGUGAAAUUGUUGAAAGGGAAGCGCUUGCAAUCAGACUUGCACUUGGUGUUCAUCAGGGUCUCGUACCCUGUGUACUUCAUCAAGUUCAGGCCAGCAUCAGUUUGAGUGGUUAGAUAAAGGCUUAGAGAAUGUGGCCCUCUUCGGGGGGUGUUAUAGCUCUAGGUGCAAUGUAGCCUACUUGGACUGAGGACCGCGCUUCGGCUAGGAUGCUGGCGUAAUGGUUGUAAGCGACCCGUCUUGAAACACGGACCAAGGAGUGUACCUAAUAUGCGAGUGUUUGGGUGUUAAACCCAUACGCGUAAUGAAAGUGAACGCUGGUGAGAACCCUUAAGGGUGCAUCAUCGACCGAUCUUGAUGUCUUCGGAUGGAUUUGAGUAAGAGCAUAUUGGGUGCGACCCGAAAGAUGGUGAUCUAUACGUGAAUAGGGUGAAGCCAGAGGAAACUCUGGUGGAGGCUCGCAGCGGUUCUGACGUGCAAAUCGAUCGUCAAAUUUGCGUAUAGGGGCGAAAGACUAAUCGAACCAUCUAGUAGCUGGUCCUGCCAGAUUUUCCCUCCGGAAAAGGCCA
rnacentral:rRNA from 1 species